rnacentral:misc_RNA from 1 species
GUAGGUGAACCUGCGGAAGGAUCAUUAACACGUAUCCACGUAUCAAACGAAAUCGGUAACUGUAACCUCCCUAAUAAUUGCUGAGCUGCUUACUUGGAUCAUGGUGGGUGUACUUCGGUGCACGAUCUGAGUAAGCUUGGGCUUCGAGCCCGAGGCGCAGCGCGUUAUUAGGCUUUUCUUUCCACCCUACUUCUCUACUAUGAAGUAUGGCGGAGUAACAAACCUAUUUCACCCCACUUAUAACUUCUUGACUAAUACUAUUCACUUGGAGAAAUCCAAGCCUGAAUUGAGUUUAUCUUAACUAAGUACAACUCUUAGCAAUGGAUAUCUUGGUUCUC